CUCACCCAUCGCCGCCUGCGCCCAUCUUCUCCUCUCUUCUUUUUCCUCCUUCCCCACGCCAAAGGACAAUCAUGGCAGACGAAGCCCAUAUCCCUCUCGUCCUUUCCUCACUAUUCACAACUUCACCAUGGUACUCGAAGCCAUGGAAAAGCUUCCACUCCGCCGAAUCCUCAACUAGUAAUUCCGAAUCUAGGGAAUCAAAGUUGAAAUUGAUUCAAACACUCUUGGACCCAUUUCGUUGCACAAAAUCAGGUAAAAUCGCUUCCCAUUUUUCUUCGACUUUUUACUGGGUUUUAGCCUAAAAAAUGUUAUUCGUCGUCGUUCUUAUUUUUGUUAUUUUAUACGGUUGAAAUCCCGACUGAAAUAUGUGUUAUUUGCUAGUUCGGUUGAAAUCCCGACUGAAAAAUUGUGAUAUGAAUCUCUGCUAUGGUAUUUGUUAUUUCACGAUGUUGGUGUGGCUAUUUCCUUUUUUGAGAUAAUUGUUCGAAUCUAAGUUUAGGUCUGAUUUAAAUGUUUUUUCUUAUUUUGUUCUGGUUUGCUUCACGUGGAUUUGAUAAUUAUCAAGAGCUCAGCAAGUUUCCUAAAGUUGAAUAUGUUUCAUCUCGCGGAGUUUCUGCCUAAAAAGUUAUUUUGAUUUAGCCGUAAUCCUAAAAUAUGAUCAAGGUCUAGGGAUUGGUUUCAAAUUAGGAUUAAAUAAUAGAAUCUUUUUAUUUUUCAUUUGCGUCAGGUUUUACUUGUAUCCAUUUUAAUCCAUUUUAAAAGUCUUGCCCAGAUUUCCUUCCAACAUUAUGUGAAUUUAAUUUUCGUGCUCCUCUUACUCGGACAGUUGGUUGCUGCUUCGCUACUUUGUUCAUAUGCAAUGAAAUAAACCACAUGUACUUGUUAAAAGAGAGAAAUUAAUUUGGUCGAGUACUAGCCGAAGGUGAAGCUAAUUUCUUCUUUUCUUGGCUAG